UACGGUCAUACAACAUUGAAAGACCGGUUAUCGUAUGAUCUCUGAAGUUAAUAAACGUCGAGCCCGGUCAGUACCUAAGUGGGUGAUUGCUUGGGAAUACCUGGUACU